GUGAGGUAAUGGCUUACCAAGGCGACGACGGGUAGCCGGCCUGAGAGGGCGAUCGGCCACACUGGGACUGAGACACGGCCCAGACUCCUACGGGAGGCAGCAGUGGGGAAUAUUGCACAAUGGGCGCAAGCCUGAUGCAGCGACGCCGCGUGAGGGAUGAAGGCCUUCGGGUUGUAAACCUCUUUCAGCAGGGAAGAAGCAGUCGGGUUUUCCUGGUUGUGACGGUACCUGCAGAAGAAGCACCGGCUAACUACGUGCCAGCAGCCGCGGUAAUACGUAGGGUGCAAGCGUUGUCCGGAAUUAUUGGGCGUAAAGAGCUUGUAGGUGGUUUGUCGCGUCUGUUGUGAAAUUUCGGGGCUCAACCCCGAACUUGCAGUGGAUACGGGCAGACUAGAGUGUGGUAGGGGAGACUGGAAUUCCUGGUGUAGCGGUGAAAUGCGCAGAUAUCAGGAGGAACACCGAUGGCGAAGGCAGGUCUCUGGGCCAUUACUGACACUGAGAAGCGAAAGCAUGGGGAGCGAACAGGAUUAGAUACCCUGGUAGUCCAUGCCGUAAACGGUGGGAACUAGGUGUGGGUCUCAUUCCACGAGAUCCGUGCCGCAGCUAACGCAUUAAGUU
rnacentral:rRNA from 1 species